CAGACAGUUUCCCCCUUUGUUGCUCAAGCCUUGCAUUCUCUCAGUCUAGCCGAAGUCUAGCCAGAAAGAAAAGGAACGUUUCUUCCCGGUAGCCCUUCCUCCAGGCCCAGGAUUCCUUCAUCAGGCUUUGACCAUUUGGAUCAGGUCCUCACCCCCGCACUGAGGCGGGGCAUGCAGGGCACUGAUUCACCCAGCCUGGGUCACGUGCUUCUGGCCUGGCAACACCUGGAUUGAGUGGGAAGGACCUGGUUCCUCCUAAGGCAUCAAGGUGCUGCUUUAAACAGAAGGGAGGAUGCAUGAUGGUACAGUAAUCACAGUAAUAGAUGCCCACUGCCCUGAGCGGGUGCAGUAAGCACAGUAAUAGAUGCCCAUUGCCAUGAAGGGUGAACUGAGCACAGUAAUAGAUGCCCACUGCCCUGAGUGGGUGAAGUAAGCACAGUAAUAGAUGCCCACUGCCCUGAGCUGGUGCAGGAAGCACAGUAAUAGAUGCCCAUUGCCAUGAAGGGUGAACUGAGCACAGUAAUAGAUGCCCACUGCCCUGAGUGGGUGAAGUAAGCACAGUAAUAGAUGGCCACGGCCCUGACCUGGUGGAGGAAGCACAGUAAUACACGCUCACUGCCCUGAGAGGGUGCAGUAAGCACAAUAAUAGAUGCCCACUGCCCUGAGCGGGUGAAGAAAGCACAGUAACAGACACCCACGGCCCUGAGCAGGUGAAGUAAGCACAGUAAUAGACACCCACUGUGGUGAGCGGAUGAAGCAAGCACAGUAAUAGACGCCCACUGCCCUGAGAGGGUGCAGUAAGCACAGUAAUAGACACCCCCUGUCCUGAGCUGGUGAAGUAAGCACAGUAAUAGACGCCGACUGCCAUUAACGGGUGAAGUGAACACAGUAGUAGACACCCACUGCACUGAGCGGGUGCAGGAAGCACACUAAUAUAAACCCACUGUCCUGAAUGGGUGCAUUAAGCCAGUAAUAGAUGCACACUGCCCUGAGCGGGUGAAGUAAGCCCAGUAAUAGAUCAACACUGCCCUGAGUGGGUGAAGUAAGCACAGUAAUAGAUGCACACUGCCCUGAGCGGAUGAAGCAAGCACAGUAAUAGAUGCCCACUGUCCUGAGCGGAUGAAGCAAGCACAGUAAUGGAUGCCCACUGUCCUGAGCCGAUGAAGCAAGCACAGUAAUAGCCGCCCACUGCCAUGAGAGGCUGCAGUAAGCAUAGUAAUAGCCGCCCACUGCCAUGAGAGGGUGCAGUAAGCACAGUAAUAGACACCCCCUGUCCUGAGCUGGUGAAGUAAGCACAGUAAUAGAUGCCGACUGCCAUUAACGGGUGAAGUAAACACAGUAGUAGACACCCACUGCACUGAGCGGGUGCAGGAAGCACACUAAUAUAUACCCACUGUCCUGAAUGGGUGCAUUAAGCCAGUAAUAGAAGCACACUGCCCUGAGCGGGUGACGUAAGCCCAGUAAUAGAUGCACACUGCCCUGAGUGGGUGAAGUAAGCCCAGUAAUAGAUGCACACUGCCCUGAGGGGGUGAAGUAAGCCCAGUAAUAGAUGCACACUGCCCUGAGCGGGUGAAGUAAGCACAGUAAUAGAUGCCCACUGCCCUGAGCGGGUGAAGUAAGCCCAGUAAUAGAUGCACACUGCCCUGAGCGGGUGAAGUAAGCACAGUAAUAGAUGCCCACUGUCCUGAGCGGAUGAAGCAAGCACAGUAAUAGCCGCCCACUGCCAUGAGAGGCUGCAGUAAGCAUAGUAAUAGCCACCCACUGCCAUGAGAGGGUGCAGUAAGCACAGUAAUAGACACCCCCUGUCCUGAGCUGGUGAAGUAAGCACAGUAAUAGAUGCCCACUGUCCUGAGCCGAUGAAGCAAGCACAGUAAUAGCCGCCCACUGCCAUGAGAGGGUGCAGUAAGCACAGUAAUAGACACCCCCUGUCCUGAGCUGGUGAAGUAAGCACAGUAAUAGACGCUGACUGCCACUAACGGGUGAAGUAAACACAGUAGUAGACACCCACUGCACUGAGCGGGUGCAGGAAGCACACUAAUAUAUACCCACUGUCCUGAAUGGGUGCAUUAAGCCAGUAAUAGAAGCACACUGCCCUGAGCGGGUGAAGUAAGCCCAGUAAUAGAUGCACACUGCCCUGAGCGGGUGAAGUAAGCCCAGUAAUAGAUGCACACUGCCCUGAACGGGUGAAGUAAGCCCAGUAAUACAUGCACACUGCCCUCAGCUCUUGAAGGAGGGAGCACUUAGCCAGGGGUCCCUGCAAUGGAUGGGAAGCACAUCAACUCAGCUGAACUGGAACUUCCUUUCCCAGCAUUCACCUCUCUGCACAGUUCUCAGUUAGCACGUGUGGGCCACAAGGGCCGUAUUGCCCUAGGUUGGCAGGCGGAGCUGCAGUGGAGGCUGUCUCCUCAGUGCUCUGGAGGUCGGUGCACAUAGGAGGCAUCUCUGGGGCUCCCACCGGGCAGAUCUGCUGGCUCACUGGCGUUAUGUGGCAGCAGCCAGGCCCACAGCCCCUCCAGCAACUGCUGGGUCCUCCUUUGGCUUCUCCAGUGCUGGGCCAUGAAGAAGGUUGCCGGCUGCUCCUGCAGGACACCCUCAUGGGUGAACCUGGAGGCCGGCAGAAGCUGAGAGGCUGAUGCGGUGCCAGGCCCAGUUUGUCCUUGCGUCCUCCACCUUGGAUCCAUCUUCCCCUCCCAAUCGCUAGGCUCCAGGCUCCAGGACCAGACACAGAAGCAAUGGCUUUGUGUAGACGGUUUGACCACCUCCCACAAUGGGAUAAGGUCAGACCCCUAUACUACAUCCUUCAUGAUGUGGAAUCUCCCGGUGGCUCUGCUCCUCUGAUGGAACCCUGGCAGGGACAGCCCCUGAGCUGCCUGCUCUGAGACAUCCUGAUAAGCACAAGAAUGGCACCUGGGACCAAUGCCGGGAGGAGCCUCCAUCCCUGCCUGUGAAGAUUCCCAGGGUCACCCCAGGCACCAUCUGUAGUCCACUUCAGUCAGGCACCCAAGUCCAUUUUGGAAGAAGCUUUGGCCCUGGGAAAAAACCUGGAUUUGAGUCACUCCAUGGGGACACAAAGCACCAUGUGAGCUGAGACAUCUCCCCACAGCCACUCCACCUCCCCAGUUUAUACCAACAGAAACACCCUCACUGCGUGCGUC
ensembl:lncRNA